GGAAAUGUUGGUACUAUUCCAUUGUGACAAAUGGUAUCUUAGUGGGGCAAAGAGACAUUCCUUCUACAACUCCAAAACAACCAACGUAAAAGAUGUAGAGAGGCCUAACUCAGAAGGAGAGAGGAAGCGGAUCACUAUAUAAUCUAUUCAAUUUCAAUUUCAAAAGAUGCUGCUGCUGAUCAAAGGAUACUUAUCUGUUCUAUCAACGCUGGGAGACACAACAUGGCAAGACAGCAGAUUAUUGCACAGAAGGGACUGACUUCUGUAUACAGGACACAGAAAUAAGAAGAAACUGAAGCACAAGGAGUUCCUAUUAAGUGCACAUUGCUGAAGAUGCAGCGGACACGGUCUCUACUCUCGUGGAGCUAAUUAUGAAAUUAAGAUAAAAUUCCAACUGCAAUCAUCACAGCAAUGAAGACUUACAACAAUUAUGAGAUUCCACAACAGUAGUAUGUGAUUAAGUUGUAUCGGUCUCAGGAGACUGGUUUGAGAUAAAGAGGAGAGAAAAAAUAAUAUCCUGGGCAGAAGGAAUCACAGAUGCAAAGAACCUGUGGCCAAAGACAUCAUGUGGCUGGCUGGCAAGAGGAAGGGCCAGCCUGGAGAAAGAAGCUUCUGGAAGGUAGACAGGAGCCAGAACAAGCAGGACUUUGUAGCCUGUAUUAAGAAGAUUUGUGUUAUCAUUAUAAGCAAUGCAAACCCACUGAAGCAAAACCCAGAUAAACAUUGACUUAAAUGCAAUUAAAGGCAGGAGUGUAGUAUUUGCCUAAUUAUAAUAAGCCUUGGUUUUCAAAAGAGCCCUUUGUUUUGAGGAUCACAAGUAGAUUGAAAGAAGGACAGAAUGAAAUGAAGAAUUAUGAGAUAUUGCAGGAGACCAAGCUGAAUGCUGAUUUGUGACUUUGAUUAGGAUAUUGCUGGAGAUAGACGUCUAUCUAGAAAUAUUUUUUUCAAAAAAGAUAGAUAGGAAUUGGUGAUGAAUUGGAUGUGGUUGGGGGUACUAGAAGGGAGUUGCCAAAAAGGGAUGCUAAGGUUAUUCCUAGGUUUCUGAUUUGUACAACCGGAAAAAUAAUCAUAACUUUCACUGAGAAGAGAGACAUUGAAUAAGGAGCAAGGGUAGGAUCAUGAGUUUUGCUCCAGGUGUUGAAUUUGAGGUGCUUUUGAAAGACAAACAAGAGAAGACAAGCAGACAGUGGAAUAAUAAGUCUAAAGAGAGCUCUCAACUAGACAUGGUCAUCGAAGCCAUAAUUGUGAAUGAUGUUUACCUAUGCAUACAUAGAGGAAGGGAAGACAUAGAAACCAGCCUUCAGUAUGCCGGUAUUUAAUGACUUAGUAUAUAAACCUCAGUAGAUAAUAGUUGUAGAAGGAAGAAUUUCAUUAAUAAGUCAAAUAAAUAUUGAUAUUCUUAGAUUGUAAUUGGAGCAGGAUCAGCAUUUGGCAA
rnacentral:lncRNA from 1 species